CUUACAGAGUAUGGAGAAAAAAGUGCCCAAGACGGACCGGGCAUCUGUGCAGGGCCUGGAUUGAAGACCCCAAUUCACCAGCCACCCCCUUUUCCCUGACCAAUAAUACCAGGCCCACAGGAAUUGGAAAGCCAGAGUGCCAUUUUCCUAGGAGUUACCUGUUGUGGAUGUUGAGUAACCAUUCCCUUCAAAUCCGUGGAAGUUUUAAAGAAAGACUCAACAACUUUCUAAACAGCAUCCUUUCCCCAACAGUGGAAAACCUGGUGCUUCGGGCAAAGCAACUCCUUGCCUUUCUGCCUCACUGGCUUCACAGAGUGAGGAAAGCCACUGUACUGACUGGUUUUAUGUCAACUUGACACAAACUAGAGUCACCCGAAAGGAGGGACUCUCAAUUAAGAAAAUGUUUCCAUAAGAUCCAGCUUGUGUGUGGGGCCACCCCUGGGCUGGUGGUCCAGAGUUCUAUCAGAAAGCAGGCCUGAACAAAGCAUGAUGAGCAAGCCAGUAAGCAGCCCUCCUCCGUGGUCUCUGCAUCAGCUCCUGCCUCCAGGCUCCUGCCCUGUUUGAGUUCUUGUCCUGACUUGUUUCAGUGAUGGACUACAACGUGGAAAUGGCCUUUGUAUUAGCGCUUCCUCUUCCUGGAAUAAGGCUUCCCUUUGUCCUCCUGGUAAGUUCCUCCUCAUUUUCUCAAGGCCAGGCUGGCACUUCCUCAUUUGAAAGAGCAAGUUGGGAGAAGAGGAAGAGAGAAGCCUUGAACCCAGGAGAUCCUUCCAAAGUAAGGGCUGAACUAAAGGGAUGCCCAGCUGGACAAACAAAACUGGACUGCCAAGC
rnacentral:lncRNA from 1 species